rnacentral:rRNA from 1 species
UACGUAGGGUGCGAGCGUUGUCCGGAAUUAUUGGGCGUAAAGCGUCCGUAGGUGGCUAGUCAAGUCUGCGGUCAAAGACUGGGGCUUAACCCUGGAAAGGCCGUGGAAACUGACGAGCUAGAGGGCAGUAGGGGUAGAGGGAAUUCCCGGUGUAGCGGUGAAAUGCGUAGAGCUCGGGAAGAACAUCGGUGGCGAAAGCGCUCUACUGGACUGCAACUGACACUCAGGGACGAAAGCUAGGGGAGCGAAUGGG